AACGAACGCUGGCGGCAUGCCUAACACAUGCAAGUCGAACGAUGCUUUCGGGCAUAGUGGCGCACGGGUGCGUAACGCGUGGGAAUCUGCCCCCUUGGUUCGGAAUAACAGUUAGAAAUGACUGCUAAUACCGGAUGACGACGUAAGUCCAAAGAUUUAUCGCCGAGGGAUGAGCCCGCGUAGGAUUAGCUAGUUGGUGUGGUAAAGGCGCACCAAGGCGACGAUCCUUAGCUGGUCUGAGAGGAUGAUCAGCCACACUGGGACUGAGACACGGCCCAGACUCCUACGGGAGGCAGCAGUGGGGAAGUAA
rnacentral:rRNA from 1 species